rnacentral:rRNA from 1 species
AUGAAUUUCUUAUGCUGGAACUGUCGCGGCCUGGGGACGGACGCGACAGUUGGCGAGCUACGGUGGCUCAUUAGUAAAUACCGUCCGUCCCUCCUCUUCCUAUCCGAGACGAAGAUGAGGGACACGAGAGCUCGGAAUUUCACGUGGCCCCUUAGUUUCUCAGGUGCUUUUGCAGUAAGUAGUAACGGAUUGAGCGGUGGGUUGGCUCUUUAUUGGUCCUCCUCUUUGAAGGUUUCACUACAGGCCUACUCCACACAACUGAUCGACAGUGUAGUAACUUCAGAAAAUGGAGAUGUCUGGCAUACCACACUGGUUUAUGGUGAGUCAAGAAAAGAGUUGAGGCAUCAAUUCUGGAAUAAACUGCGCUUUCUGUGGUCUCAUUGA